rnacentral:rRNA from 1 species
GACGAACGCUGGCGGCGUGCUUAACACAUGCAAGUCGAACGGAAAGGCCCUGCUUUUGUGGGGUGCUCGAGUGGCGAACGGGUGAGUAACACGUGAGUAACCUGCCCUUGACUUUGGGAUAACUUCAGGAAACUGGGGCUAAUACCGGAUAGGAGCUCCUGCUGCAUGGUGGGGGUUGGAAAGUUUCGGCAGUUGGGGAUGGACUCGCGGCUUAUCAGCUUGUUGGUGGGGUAGUGGCUUACCAAGGCUUUGACGGGUAGCCGGCCUGAGAGGGUGACCGGCCACAUUGGGACUGAGAUACGGCCCAGACUCCUACGGGAGGCAGCAGUGGGGAAUAUUGCACAAUGGGCGGAAGCCUGAUGCAGCAACGCCGCGUGCAGGAUGACGGCCUUCGGGUUGUAAACCGCUUUCGCCUGUGACGAAGCGUGAGUGACGGUAAUGGGUAAAGAAGCACCGGCUAACUACGUG